rnacentral:tRNA from 1 species
GGCAGGAUGGAGAAGUGGAAUCUCACAAGGCUCAUAUCCUUGAGAACGGCGGUUCAAAUCCGUCUCCUGCAA